GGGCGGUUUCUCCACGCCUGAGCCUUCCUGGCCCAAACCUGCGAGUGUGGUGCGGAGGGACGCGUGAACGGGUGACGUCCCCGUCGGCGCCCGGUUGGUGCGGGGCGCCUCGGGGCCUGCUCUGGCCUUCCCUGGCGGGGUUGCCCUAAGGAUGGUUCGAGGUGAUGCAGAUUGAGUCCUUAGCGCGCGCCGGACACGUAGUACCAAGUACACGUUAGCUGGUGUAUUUACCCUUAAAGACCUCUGUCGAUGGGCCCCAUGGGCCAGGUUUUGUGCUGGGUGAUGAAGUUGGAAAAUGAAGUACUUUAGUGAGAAGCCCUGUUCUGGGAAGAUCUUACUGUGCUGUACUCACACUGCUUGUGAUGAUGAGAGAGGAUACAACGCCCGCGUGAUGACGUGAAGGGACGUGUAUGACACAGGCAGUGUGACGUGUUAGGCUGCUGCUGACCUGCUGAGGGUGUGUCGGAAAGCAGGCACCUGCCUCUGGACCGAGGUUGACUGCGGUCACUGAAACUGUUGAAAGUGAACUUGUGGAUAAAGGGGGAGGGGGCACUGCAUACUCUACCACAAUAAAAAAAAAUAAUAGUGUAAUACACAAAAAUGCGUCAAGAUGUAUGCCAUGUUAAUUAUAUCUCAAUAAAGCUUUUAUAAACAAAACCAUAA